UACGGAGGGUGCAAGCGUUAUCCGGAUUCACUGGGUUUAAAGGGAGCGUAGGUGGUCAGGUAAGUCAGUGGUGAAAUCUCCGGGCUUAACCCGGAAACUGCCAUUGAUACUAUCUGUCUUGAAUAUUCUCGAGGUAAGCGGAAUAUGUCAUGUAGCGGUGAAAUGCUUAGAUAUGACAUAGAACACCCAUUGCGAAGGCAGCUUACUACGGAACUAUUGACACUGAGGCUCGAAAGCGUGGGGAUCAAGCAGC
rnacentral:rRNA from 1 species